rnacentral:rRNA from 1 species
AGAGUUUGAUCCUGGCUCAGAAUCAACGCUGGCGGCGUGCCUAACACAUGCAAGUCGAACGCGGUUUCCCCGCAAGGGGAAACUGAGUGGCGAACGGGUGAGUAACACGUGGGUGACCUACCUUCGAGUGGGGGAUAACGUCCCGAAAGGGACGCUAAUACCGCAUGACAUCCCGCCUUUGAACAGGCGGAGAUCAAAGCUGGGGAUCGCAAGACCCGGCGCUUGAUGAGGGGCCCGCGUCCGAUUAGCUAGUUGGUGAGGUAACGGCUCACCAAGGCGACGAUCGGUAUCCGGCCUGAGAGGGCGGACGGACACACUGGGACUGAGACACGGCCCAGACUCCUACGGGAGGCAGCAGUGGGGAAUUGUUCACAAUGGGCGCAAGCCUGAUGACGCAACGCCGCGUGGAGGAUGAAGGUCUUCGGAUUGUAAACUCCUGUUGCCAGGGACGAAUGGCUCCGACCUAAUACGUCGGAGAGUGACGGUACCUGGUGAGGAAGCCCCGGCUAACUCUGUGCCAGCAGCCGCGGUAAUACAGAGGGGGCAAGCGUUGUUCGGAAUUACUGGGCGUAAAGGGCGCGUAGGCGGCCUCCUAAGUCGAACGUGAAAUCCCCGGGCUCAACCCGGGAACUGCGUCCGAUACUGGGAGGCUUGAAUCCGGGAGAGGGAUGUGGAAUUCCAGGUGUAGCGGUGAAAUGCGUAGAUAUCUGGAGGAACACCGGUGGCGAAAGGCGGCAUCCUGGACCGGUAUUGACGCUGAGGCGCGAAAGCCAGGGGAGCAAACGGGAUUAGAUACCCCGGUAGUCCUGGCCCUAAACGAUGAAUGCUUGGUGUGGCGGGUAUCGAUCCCUGCCGUGCCGAAGCUAACGCAUUAAGCAUUCCGCCUGGGGGAGUACGGUCGCAAGGCUGAAACUCAAG